ensembl:lncRNA
CUGGUUUUUACACUUUACUUAUCAGUGCGUAAGCUGUUUUAAUUUAUUUCCUUUUUGUUGUGAAAGCAUACAAGCUUUAAGCAGCCAUGCCUAAAAGGAGCAAAGCUAACAAUGACACUGAAGCAGCCGGGCCCAAGAGACGGUCUGAGAGACUUCAGGGUAAACCCCAAACGCCAAAGUCUGAGCCCAAGCCAAAAGUGAAGAAGGCACCUGCAAAGGGCAAGAAGGCCAAGGAGGUAGAAAAGGCCAAACCAGAGGAGAAGAAAGAAGACGCAAAGCCAGAGACGGAGUCUGAGGAGGAAACUCCUGUGGAGAACGGAGAGGCCAAAGCUGAGGGGGACAAUGGAGAAGCAGGAGGCGAGGAGGAAAAGGCUGACUAGAAAGAGGGAGCUGCUAAAUAAGACGAAAACAUUUCACAAGAGCUCCCAUACCUCUUUUCUUGUACAAUACAGAGGAAUAUUUUUACUGACUAUUUUCUAAAAAGCAGGUUUUUUAGUAGUUCAAUAUUAGAAGCUCAUUUUAUAGACAACGAUCAAGAGAAAAGCCUUAGAAGAGGGAUUCCAUGGUCUCCCCACUCCAGUUUUUCCUGAAGAAGAAAAGCAGUCAUGAAACAACUAAUGACUUCCUCUUAUUA